UAGAGCGUUAGACUUUUAAUCCAACGGUCAGGGGUUCGAGUCCCCUAAGUUGGU
rnacentral:tRNA from 1 species